UUUUUUUUUUUUUCAGUUUAGUAGAGGAUCCAUUUCCAUCUUUAACUCCAAAGACGGCAUGAGCCUUUCUACCAAAGGGGUUCUGAAAAGCUCCUCCAUUGCUACAGAUCAGAGACAAGAACUUUACACAUAAAGAACACAGCAGCUAUUGCAGCAUUGCACAAUGAUGAGUAAUGCUUUAGAGAGCAUAAACUAUGGAACCUAGGAAAUUCUUACAAACAUAGUAGUUGAUAUGAACUUAAUACUGAAAAUAGUGAAUUAGGUAGAGAUUAAGACUUAGUAAUAAGAGGCCUUCAACAAUAAAUGGACUCACUAGGAACAUAUGUUUCUGUGUUGCUCAGAAUCUGCUCCACAGCGGUUGUCUUUGUUCUUACAGAGAAAUAAAUGAAGUCUGUGUAAUGGGUAAGGACACAUAGGUGAGCUAACGUUUGAGCUGAGAUUCGAAGAAUGAAUGGCAUUUUAUCUUGUGUGUAGGGGAAAGGGAAACUCAUUCCAGUUAGGGAAAUGAGAUGAAAAGGCAUAACUCAGGAUGGAAGUGCAUAACUCUCUCGACACAAUACAGGAUCCAGGUAGACUGUGUUUAGGGUUUUGGAAAUGAUAUGGGAUGAAGCUAGAAAGGCAAGAGAGUCUGCACUUAAAGGUCUGGGAAUAUCAUCUUAAGCGGUUAAGUUUUACUCUACUGUGAAGGAGAAGUCUGAGAAGGGCAGGGACAUAAGCCUAUCUAGUCUCUAUGCCCCUCUAUAAGACAAAGAACCCUCUGUGGGCUUCAAGCACGUAUUCCUUAAGCCUAGAAUAGAGGCAGAAAAGGAACUUCGCUCAUGUUCUCUUGUUGGUUAAUGAAGAUUUGUAUCAAUUGCUUCUUUUAGCAAAUCUUGGCUGACAAUAUGGAAUACUGAAUGAAGAAGAGAGAGGCUAGAGGCACCAGAAUUCCUAGGAGGUCACUGCAACUGCUGGGAAAAUGCAAGUCAUUCUAUGAACGAAGAUGAUUUGGAAGGUGGAUAUGAAAGAAAUUGUAGAAGUCGAAUUAAUAGAAUUUGGUGAUUGGCUGGACUUCUGAUGAAGGUAGAAAAUUUUUAUAACUCAGAUGAACAGGUUGAGGAUGAUGCUUCUCUCAAAGAUAAGAAAAGCCUUGAAGAGGCGAAGGGGUUUUCUUCGGCUGGGGAAGGGUGGUGCAGGAAGAAAAGGAAAGAAUCAUGCUUGGGACACCUAGAGUUCAAAAAGCCUGUUUGACUUUAACAUGGAAACAUCCGAAAUGGGGCUGGGGCUUAAAAGGCAGCUAGAGAUGUUAGCAAGUCAAGAUGUUUGCCUGGAUUUCAAAUGCGUAACUUGAUAUUAGGAACUGCAUCUCUGACUAAACUGCAAACCCAACCAACAUUUUUAUAUCUACCUCCUGCCAUGCGACUUUAAGCAUGUAUUCAUUUAUUUAUUAUGUACAUAUUACUGAGCACCUACAAUAUGUCAAGCACAGUUUUGGGUUUGGGAAUGCAGCAAACAGGAGAUUAACUUCCCUAUUGUUCCCAGGUAGAUUAUCUUCCAAGGGAAUACUGACCAAAACUAAGUAACUAAUAAACAUCUAUUUUUAGAAGGUAUAUACAGGUGGUAGUAUAAAAUUGUUUUAUUGCUCCUCUGAAUCUUAAUUAUGAUUCAUUAUGUGGUUAUGCAUGAAAUUAAUAAAGUUUUUCUUAUGCAGAAGUAUAUGGGAGUACAGAGUGAAGUAACAGGAAGAAGUAGUAAAGCAAAAAAUUAUUGAGCUUUCAUCCAGAGAAGAUUCUCCAAGUGAGCUUUUCAAGAAAACCUAUUGGUGUUCUAUUAGCUGCUUACAUUUUUUCCCAAUUGUCAUUAUGGUCAUAAUUUAAUACAAAGAAUGAUGAUGUCGUAUAUCCACCCAUGCUGAGAAUGUGUCAGAUGUGCUUUCAAAGGUAGUUCCAAGCGGCUAUUACCUGAAGUAAAUAUUACACAAAAUAAAUUAAAUCUUAUUAGAUUCAAAGAUUGACAACAGUGACAAACAGAUUAGAGUAUUUUAAAGCUGGUCUUGCUUUUAGGAUUCAGAAGUGUUCAUUCGUAUGCUAGGCUUGCUGCUCUAUGCUACUCACUUCAGAGGAUAUAUUCUCUUUC
rnacentral:lncRNA from 1 species